rnacentral:rRNA from 1 species
GAUGAACGCUGGCGGCGUGCCUAAUACAUGCAAGUCGAACGAGGUGCCUUUGUAGCAAUACGAAGGUAUCCUAGUGGCGAACGGGUGAGUAACGCGUUGGUGACCUACCCCAAAGUGUGGGAUAACAGAUCGAAAGAUCUGCUAAUACCGCAUGUGGUCUUCGGAUUUAGAAACUGAUGACUAAAGGAGCAAUUCGCUUUGGGAGGGACCUGCGUCCCAUCAGCUAGUUGGUGAGGUAAUGGCUCACCAAGGCUACGACGGGUAGGGGACCUGAGAGGGUGGCCCCCCACAAUGGAACUGAAACACGGUCCAUACACCUACGGGUGGCAGCAGUAGGGAAUAUUGCACAAUGGGCGAAAGCCUGAUGCAGCAACGCCGCGUGUGCGAUGAAGGCCUUCGGGUCGUAAAGCACUUUUCUGAGGGAUGAGCAAGGACAGUACCUCAGGAAUAAGUCUCGGCUAACUACGUGCCAGCAGCCGCGGU